rnacentral:tRNA from 1 species
AUCUUUCUAGUACAAAAUCAGUAUACGCGACUUCCAAUCGCCCGGCCUUGGUUAAAGCCCAAGGAAAGAUA